UGCCCAGCAACGCCUAUCCCUACCUCCUCAUGAUACCGGCCGGAUCUGCGAACAACCUUAGGAAAGAUUGGGUAACCAACUCCAACAGAGAAGG
rnacentral:ribozyme from 1 species